AUUAGUAACAGGUGCACCAGGAAUACCAACCUGAUUGACUACAACUUUAGCAGGUAAUGAUUCAGAGGCAGUCACAUCGGAGAGGACAUCAUUAGCAGGAGGAGUAUCAGAGUCAAGGAGUUCCAUAUCUUCUAGGAUAGAGUCUUGAUUAGGUGAGUCAUCAAAGAUCCAGUUUUCAAUCUCCUGCCAAGUUUCCUUGGCACAUGCAAGUUGGGAAUCCAGACCAGACAGGGAGGCUUGGGAGGAAGGGACUGUGCCAGAGGAGCUUCCACCAUGGGACAGUGAAGAGUUGCUGGCAAUGUUCUGCAGAUGGCUGUUGUUAUUACCCGGGCCACCAUGUUGAGAAGGGGGAAGAGGGUCAGGUAGUUGCCCCUCAUCAGAAGUGUGAUCUUGAUUGGUAGUAGCUAGAUCAGCUCCAGCAGCAGAGGGAGGUUCAACUUGAACAGAAAUCUGGAACAGUUUGCCUUGAAAUUCAAAAAGCUUUUCCCUGGGAAUCAGAGUGUGAUCCAUACAUCGGAUUUUGACUCUGACCAUACUAUAGAAGUUUUUAAACAUGCCAGCCCAAUCAACUUCAGUGAGCAAACCAAAGACUGAAGCCACCUGGUCUAGGAUGUACCAUUCACACCACUUAGGCUGCAAACCUCUUAGCUGGAUCCAAACAGAUUGGAGCUCCUGGUAUUGAUCAAGUUCCCCAUCCCAUUCUGCCACAUUAAUAGUUACACCCUCUCUAAGAUUAUAGAGGGAUAACCAGAUAAGUGUGAGAGGGGGAUGUGUGGUGGAAACUUAACCAAAAAGGUGUAGGGGUCCAGUUCCCUAAUCUGCCAGGGCCAGGAGGUCUUGUAAAUGGCAGAGAAUUCCUUAGCAAGUUCCUCUUUAGUGAGUUCUCCAAGCUCCAGAAAAACUAAACCAACAUUCUUAGUUGCAUCCGGCUUCUGGCUGCUGAGGUUAGGGCAUUCAAUGUGGUAAAAGACCAUCAGCAGGACUACCAAUGUAUCUAGCAGUCUGGUGACUUUUCUUUUUGACUGGGCAAGCAGAAGCUUUGUGAGAGGUGGAUCGUCAGACAUCACAGAUCUUUGGUUAUGCACAAUUCUCAGUAUGAUGUCCAGGGUCACCACAGUUGCCAUAGGUAACAUUCAAAAAUUCAGGCGUAGAGGUAGACUGUAACAUGGAUGAAGUGGCCGAGCCAUUUGCAGACGGUGGUUGCAGAUUGUUAAUAGACCUCGUUGCAGAGCUAGAGCUCGUCACAGAGGGGGGAACUGGAACGGCAGUUUGCUGUGGGUUGAUGGAAGUAGGUGCCGGUUACAAAAUCCCUGAGAAGGUGGGGCGGGGGAAUUGCUGGAAUUGCAAAGGCUGUUGCAUGUAUGAACCUUGCUGUUGCGGGUAGAUCUGCACUGGUUGAGACUGCUGCAGAGCGGGAGGUUGUUGUGGAGGAAAUUGCAUCUGCUGACCUUGCUGGGAUUGUUGCAGAGGUUGCGGGGGAAGGGACGGAAAUUGUUGUACCUGUUACGCCGGCGGCGCUGAGGUUGGGACAGAUGCGUCGAAGCGGACUGGAUCUAAGACUGCAGCUGGGGUUGUUGCGGAGCAAAUUGAAUGGGCUGUUGCUGGGGUUGAGACGCCCAGGUGCCUUGCGGAUUGAUCCACUGAUUAUGCGGAAUCUGGCCUGGGUAGUAGCUCCACGGAGCGCCUUGGUAGUUGUAGCCAUACCCCUGGAAUUGAGUCUGAGAAGUAUUUCUGUAGUGUCAGGCAGGGUUGUGAGCUCCACUACUUUUUUUUAGUGCAGAUAACCGAGUCCUAGGCUGCUUAGAGUUUUUAUUCCAUCUUUAGUGAUUAGUUCCAGUGCUGAACCAACAUCUGCAUUUUUCACAAAUAUGGCAAAAAAGAAUUAUGUCUGCAUUUUUUAAAUGCUCUUUGCUGGGUAACUUUUCAGAGUUCUAAAACUUUGGCAUUCUCCAUAAUUAUGGCAGGUUUUUGUUCACUAGGUUUUUAGUGGUGCCAACUUCAGUGUAACCGUCUUCACAAAAAAGAAAAAAGAAAGAAAGAACAGUGAAACCAGGCCUGGAGUCACUGCAAUGACUGAGAUAUGGAAGAACUUCGGUUGACGGUUGUGCCAUUUUCUUUCUUUCUUUUUUUCUUUCCCUCCAAGACAGUAAGACACUCACAUUUUCAUUAGCAGAAGAAAAGCAUCAAGAUGACUCGAGUCUUACAGGCC
rnacentral:lncRNA from 1 species